CUGGGUACUCCACGCCGGCUCCCCCGGGGCGCCUGGGCUGGGCCGCCCCGCCAGUCGGAUCAGACUCAGGAGCGCCCGGAGGCUCCAGGGCACGCUUCUGCACGAGAGCUCCGCACCUGCGCGGUCUGGGGGUGGACCCGACCCCCUCACCCCUGGGACCCCUGAGGGCCCUGCUGCCUGGGCAGCCCCUCUCCCCUGCAGGCCCUCGCGGGGGGCGGGGGGGGGCUGGCUCGCCUCUGCCGACCCCUCGCCCGUUCGGCACCCUCUCCCCUGUGGCCCCCUAUCUUCUGCGGCCCCCUCUCCCCGGCAGCCCCCUCAUUCUUCUGCGGUCCCUCUGCGGCACGCACGCCCUCCNCAGCAGGCAGAGGCGCGGGUGGGACGCGCGUCGGGGGGCAGCUUCCUCGUGCGGGCGGACGGAGGAGGUUGCAGGUAUCGGCCGCACCGCGGACCUUGACCUGCGGCCUGGGAGGAGGCGGGCGAGAUUCCCUGGCCGGGCUCUGACCACCUGACCACCUUUCUGGGCGCUGGAGGCCGGGCCCCCGCGCCAGGACUCUACCUCUGUAAGUUGUGGGCUCCCGGGAGGUGCUGUGGGGGCGAAGGAGUCUGAGGUAUGCAGUGGUACCCCAGAGGGUCUCUGGCUUGGCGAGUGUCUCCAGGCAGCACAGCCCGGCUCCUGCUACACGGCGUGACCCUGCGGUGGGCGGGUUGGAGAGUGAGGCCGUCAGGUCUCGGCACUUCUAGUGGCUUUGUCCGACCAAGAGGACUGGAGAGCCAAAGUCUAGUUUCCAUCAGUUAGGAAUGCUUUCCGCUGCGCACGUCAGGAACCCAGGCUUGAACAGGUGAGGGUUCACUCUUCUCACCAGGAAGCCCAGGGGUGGGUCAUUGGUGUGGAUUUGGAGACCGCACACGAUGAGGGCUGGUGUUGCCUGGAUAUCGGGGUUGCAAGGUGCCUGCUGCAGCUCCAGCCGCCGUGCCAGGGCGGGAAGGAAGAAGCGGCUGCUUUCUUUGGUGAAAGCAAGAAAGCCCAGCUCCUGCUACACCCCAGCACUUUGCCCUCAUCCGGGUGACAAGGGAAGGCAGGGCCAGGGUAUUAAGCUUGUCUUAGCCCC
rnacentral:lncRNA from 1 species